rnacentral:ncRNA from 2 species
UGAAACAACACGGGAGAGACUGUCAUCCGAAUUGGAGUGACAGCGCCGACGGAGCAACCGCCCCGGAAACUCUCAGGCAAAAGGACCGUGGUGUCAGA